rnacentral:rRNA from 1 species
AGCAGCCGCGGUAAUUCCAGCUCCAAUAGCGUAUAUUAAAGUUGUUGCAGUUAAAAAGCUCGUAGUUGAAUUUCGGGAUCAAUAUUUCGGUCAUGCCGUUGGUAUGCACUGUUAUCAUUGAUUUCUCACCUUCUAAAGAACCGUAAUGCCAUUAAUUUGGUGUUACGGGGAAUUAGGACUGUUACCUUGGAAAAAUUAGAGUGUUUAAAGCAGGCUCACGCCUGAAUACAUUAGCAUGGAAUAAUGAAAUAGGACAUCCGAUUCUAUUUUGUUGGUUUCUAGGAUCGAUGUAAUGAUUAAUAGGGAUAGUUGGGGGCAUUAGUAUUCAAUUGUCAGAGGUGAAAUUCUUGGAUUUAUUGAAGACUAACUACUGCGAAAGCAUUUGCCAAGGAUGUUUUCAUUAAUCAAGAACGAAAGUUAGGGGAUCGAAGACGAUCAGAUACCGUCGUA